UUGCUCCUGCGCAAAGGCCUCUGGUUAAAGCCGUUGGUGGGCAGUGCUGCUGCCUGUUCUUGGAGUUCCUGGGUAUCACACACUUGGUAACACUUCUGCCUAAGAAAUUAAACUCUCAGCUCUCUGUGGACAUUCCCAUUGGCUAAUCUUCACUUGAACAUACAAUACCUAAAAUAAGAAAUCGGUCAGCUUUGAAUAUCUCGGACUUGUUGACAGAUCGUCUCCAUAUUUCACUUCUAUGACAGUAUUUCUUGAGACAUCUUACUGGAGAAGUGGUGCCCAUGCCUAAGAGACUGAGGGGGCAGUAACACCAAUUGACUCUCCUGGCACCAUAUACUGUGCAGUGGAGGUAGGGGCUUGAGAAGCCCCUUGCCAUGGUCACUAGAUGCCACCAGGAGAGGGAAGAACUGUCCAGAGUGAGGAAGUUCUCUAAAUUCCACAUAUAGUCUUCUCCAACAACAAAGGGUCAGGCUCUGGCCCUACUUCUCUGC
ensembl:lincRNA